GCCAGACUCCUACGGGAGGCAGCAGUGAGGAAUAUUGGUCAAUGGGCGGAAGCCUGAACCAGCCAAGUCGCGUGAGGGAAUAAGGCCCUACGGGUCGUAAACCUCUUUUGCCGGGGAGCAAGGGCGGGGACGUGUCCCGGCCCGGAGAGUACCCGGAGAAAAAGCAUCGGCUAACUCCGUGCCAGCAGCCGCGGUAAUACGUAGGGUGCGAGCGUUAAUCGGAAUUACUGGGCGUAAAGGGUGUGCAGGCGGCUGAGUAAGACAGAUGUGAAAUCCCCGGGCUUAACCUGGGAACCGCAUAUGUGACUGCUUGGCUAGAGUGCGUCAGAGGGAGGUGGAAUUCCACGUGUAGCAGUGAAAUGCGUAGAUAUGUGGAAGAACACCGAUGGCGAAGGCAGCCUCCUGGGACGCAACUGACGCUCAUACACGAAAGCGUGGGGAGCAAACAGGAUUAGAUACCCGGGUAU
rnacentral:rRNA from 1 species